rnacentral:lncRNA from 1 species
UCUCAUUUCUCACCUGCGCCGCUCCAUCUCUAACCCUAAAAUCCUCUCUCUCUCUGACUCCUCGUUUCCUCCCCUCUUCCACCGCCCUCCUACCUUGAUUUCUCCAGCGCCUUCAAUGGUGUCUCAUCCCACCGUUGUCAUUCCUUCCUUUAUAUCUCUGAUGCUUUCUCAUGCCGGGAAUACGGAUUAUCAAGGACUGAAAGGCUCUGCUAUUCCUUUGUGAGUAACUCCUUGAUAAUACGGGAUUCCCUGACGUGGGUGGAGGUAUCACCGGGUUUUCCUGACCAUCGGAGCCCUGUUUGGUGGUUACCUGAGAAGAUCUGAGCUGCCGGAGUUCUGACCUUGGCUCCUGCUGUUGGUAGCUCUGUUGAGAUCUGUGAAGCUGCUCCAUCGUCCUUACUUCGCCGUUGAUCAUUCAGCUGCCGGAAGGGUUGCUGAGUUUAAAGGGGGAAAAUC